UUCCCGUCGCUUUUCUUCGACUUCCACUCGCAUCGCCUUGCUUUUCGCGUGUGCGUGGGAGCAGCCGGUGAAAGUGAAACCUAGAUCGGUGAAACACUUUCCCCCAAUCAGCCGCCUCCUCCCAAUCCAAUCCUCUCCUCGUCUCCUCCCCAAUCGCUGCCUCUUUCAUCCUCUCCAAUCCCCGCUUCCAUCACCACACAGGGCUGUGAGGAGGAGAUGGGUGGAGGCGCGCAGGAGGAGCCUCUGCAAGACCGCAUCCUGAAGGAGGGCGGCGGGACUAGACGGGACGACAACGGGAGGAGGCGUUGCAGGAGCAGGGCGGCGGCGCGUCGCCACAACCGGCUGGUGCUCGAGCCCGCCGCCUCUUCGCGUUGCUCGCUGACUCCUCGCGUCACCCGCCCCCAAGUCAGAUGACGAUGCGAAUCAGUGGAGGAGGAGACCAUGGAGGAGAGGAAUGAUGCAUGGAGAUGUCGUGGUUAGCGAUGGAGCGCUAGCGGCGGGCGACGACCGGGCCAGGCAAGUCCAUCUCGUCCCUCUCCUCUCGGUCUCUCUCUCCUGCACUCUGGGCGAUGACCCCCAGUGCCUCUACUACACCUCUUUGCUUCUUCCCCGGAUAGCCCACUGGUGAAGAGAUCCCCUUUUUGGAUCACGAAGAGCAUGGAGCUUCUCAGAUUUCCGAGGGAAAUUCUACGGAGUCUGAUUACCAUCAGAUAGGGUUUGGGUGUGCAGAAGAUUUUCAUAGCGAUGACAAUUGCAGAAUUGGUGUUGUCCAUGGUUACUAUAGCCUGAAGGACCAUCCACGGCAAGUCGAAUCUCGAAUGGCAUGUAUUUAUAUGGAUUUGAGGUGAACCGACUGAUUCUGCCUUGCUGUCAUAUCAUUGAAGUGUCACGUGCCUAAGGUUUCAGACUUGCAAUGGUUAUGACGGAUUUAGUGAUAGCUGACCAUAUGGCCUGUGACAUUCAACGUGUGGUGGAAAAGAACUUACCUCCAUGGUUGAUGCGUAUUAGUGCCCUAGGCGUCCAACUACAUGAGCUGAUCCAAGUAACAUACUGCUUGGCGGCGUGCUGCGGAAUAGGCCGUGCCUCCUCUUCUCCCCCAAUCGCCGCCUCCUCUCCUUCUCCCCGAUCCGCGGCGUACAGAGUAGGUAGGUGGAGCAGCACGACCCUGGGCUCCAGACCGUGCAGAAGAGAUGAGGGGACAGAGGUGGGUCAAGCGGAGGACGACGGGCAUGAGCGAGCGACGGCGCGCGUGGAGGAGGUACGUGUGGUGGCCGGACAAGCGGGCGAGGAUGGCCAGGCCACAACAAGAUUCACCUUCAGGGCCAAAUAAAAGAAGUUUUCUAUUCAUGGUAGAAGCACAGUUUUAUUAGGGAAAUGAUUUCUAUUAUACAAUGAAUUCUUGAGGUACAGGUGGCUCUGAGUGCAUAUAAUCUGUGUUGAUGUAUUUAGCCAUGGCGUUUAUGUCACAUGUAUGGUACAGUCGUAUUCAGCCAAGCUUUGCAGGCUUUUUUCACUAAUAUCAAGAUAAAGAAGUUGUCUGGCAUGGUCGCUUUAAUACGAAAGAUCGUGUUAAUUUGGUCGAUGCACAAUUGCAGAAGAUAAAGAACUUUUCUGGCAUGUUAGCUUCAAUAAUAAGGAAUAUGACAGAAGCUAUAUUGCUGAAGAUGCCUACGGUUCAGCAGCUUAUGAUGAUUUACUUCAGCAGCUUAUGAUGUCUAUGGGAGGUUGGUGCAGUGUGUGACGGGAAGAAACGAGGUGAAGCUUCUCCCAAUCGUCUGGCGGUGAGGAGGACGCGAGUUGGAGGUGGAUUGAGCUCGAUGGCCAGGAGGGGCCGUUAACUGAUUGGGGAGUUUGGUGUAGCGUGUGAUGGCAGGAAACGAGGGUUGACAAGAUAUCUAAUAUCUGAAUCCAUAAAUCAGGGCUCUAUGUAAAUCCGGAAUGAUGUUUGGUACAGGCCGGGCAAUGGAGAAUCAUUGUUAAAGGUGAUAUUGCAGGCAUCAUCAUGACCACAUCAAAGGUCCUAAACUCUAGGUGAGAUCUUUCUUAUUUUUUCAUCUCUUGAGAAUGAAUCAUCUCCUGCAUAGUUAUUAAUAAGACUAUAUUUGUGUGACAUUGUACUGGCUCAUUGGUAAUUGAUAGUGCUUUGCCUUUUCAUACUCGCAGCUAUUUUUUGUUGCUCAUCAUGCCUUGUCUUAUGAAUUAGUAGUGAUCCUGUAAGGCAUGAAUCAACAGGAAAAAUUAUAGAAAGGAAAAUAAUAGCGAGAAGGAGGAACCACAUCCUCGAUGUCCUGUUCCAGGUCCACAGCUACUGCCUUCCCCAAGAAGGCCAUCUUUGAGGCUAGAUCAGCAAGGUCACCGUCUACAGAGGACUCAUUUUUUGCCUCACAAUUUCAUUUCUACAGGCUUAGUAUGGGAGGAACCUGCGGUUAUGAUGUAUAAUAAUUCUGAUUGUUCAGAGAAAGGUCGGUGCUUAUAGAAGGAUAGAAUACAGAUCUCCUGGUGGACUAUGCUUUCUUAUUUGUUGAAGUGAGAUAUGAUUGUUGGCUGGAGAUUCAGAGCUCAUAGAAGUUGGUGAAGAACCGUUUGGGAUCCUCAUUUUAACUGAAAGUUUCACUAAAUCCAUUAAAGGCUGUCAGAUAUUGAAGCCCUAGAACUAUAGGAGUGCAGCUUGCACGAAUAAAUAAGAAUUUUCGACCUUGUUAACAAUCUUAUAAAGAGAGAAAUUAGGAUUGUGUCCCGGUUAAACAUGGCUCCUGAGGUGCAAGGCGUACUAACUGCUGCAGUUUUGGCGGUCCAUCUUCUCGAAGCAAAGCCAUAGGCCAUGGACCUGCCGCUCUGCUCUAAUUUGGUAGCAACCUGACAGUUAGCGAGAGAGCAGUUCGGGACGGGGCUACCUUACCGGAGAUCUGGACGGUUUGGAGUUAGAAUGGCCAAAUCCUAAUUUUCUGUUUAACCCCUUUUCCUUAUUUAUAUGUAUUUUAUAGCUUCCCAGUUAUAUUACCUAUCUCACCAUUAGAGUAUAACUAUACAUAUUCUAUCGGCUGUGUUGUAUGGUAGUGUAUUGCUAUUGGUGAUUUUCUGAUCAACCUGGUUUGCAACCAAAGUAUGAGUUGUGUUCUUACUGUUGAUUCAUUUGCUAUUUAUUUCUUGCUGAUUAUCACCAUGUAUUCACUUACUGAUAAGACAUGGCUUUAAUUUAGGCUCGGGUUCGAUCUUUA